GGGUCAGUGACAAGUGUGUAAUGGAAACUUCUUUUUCUUGUUUCCAGAUUAACGGACCUGCUUCCACAGAUAUCUACCGUGUAAAACAAAAGCCUACUGCAAAUUUUAGCUUCGUUGCUCCAAAACAUGGGAACUACGAAUUUUGUUUUGAUACCUCUAAUACCAGAAAUGUUAAGAAGGUAGAGUUUACCAUUGACAUUGGUGAAACUCCAACACAGGAUGAGCCAGUAGAAGUGCAAAGAUUUGAAGAGAAAGUCUCCAGAUUGGAGGAUGCCGUAAGCAAAAUCAAAACUGGCAAUAGCCCAUCUAAUUAGAGGCUGACUUGAAACCCUGUCUGUAGAAGAAAACAACAAANUUAUCUUUAAAAAAUACAGCUAGUACAAUCCAAAGUUUCUAUAUGCGUGCAUAGCACAGCUCUGUGCCAAUCACUUGUAACAUUGGCACAACAUUUUUAAAUAAAUGCUUAUUGAGAAAUCA
rnacentral:lncRNA from 1 species